UGAUCGUUGAACCGUAAGCUGUCUGGAUUAACUGAUGAGCCUGAAGCUGCCAGCGCCAUUUUUGACCCGAGUUCUUGUCAGCCCUGUGCGUCAAAGACAACGUCGCCGUGGUGCUAGCUGGACGCAGAUGAUCAAUCAGCGUCUGGUCUCGGUGGCGGACCCAGCGAUUCUACGGAGCCUGGAUGGAAUAAGCUACAACUAAGAAAUCACUGAUAUUGAAGACUGUCAAUGCACAAAGUCUCCAUGGGGCUCUCGCCGUCGAGCCCGGGCGGCCGCCCGGGGUCGCCGUGCCUUGGGACCGCCGUGAUGUUCUGUAGUUGCUAGCACUAGCCUCCUUCUGUUGAUACACUCUGGUCCCCAUGGGCUGUAAGAAUGACACAGCUUUUGCCGUGCUACCUUCUCUGUAAAUGCAGCGGUUGACGCCAUUGGAGUACAGAAGCAUCUUCACGAGCAUUUCUGACCGUCCAAGGCACCUGCUAUUUUUGAAACGCUCCGUGCCCAUAUGGACACGCCCCGCGCGCGCCGGCGCCAAACUCUUGCCGCGCGCCUCCGCAUCUUCCUCCCUCCGCCUCCCGCACGCCCGCGUCGGUUACCCCCUCCUCGCGUCCUCCGGGCCAAUCGCCACCCUUCCUCCGCUUCUCCCUCCCUCCCUUUCUCUUCCACGGACACACCGGAGGAGGAGAAGGGCCAUCGAUCCGAUCGGGGAGGAGGCGUGGCCAGCGAUGGGUCUCCUCAGGGGCGUCGCGCUGCGCGUGGCCGUGCUCGCCGCCGCCGUCGGCUUCGCCGCCGCCGGGUUCAUCUCAAAUGACGCGCUGCUGGAGCGCGGGCACGACACCACCGGCCGGAGCCUGCUGCAGGCCAAGAAAGAUUGCCCGGUGAGCUUCGAGGGCGCCAACUACACGAUCAUCACGAGCCGGUGCAAGGGCCCGCUGUACCAGCCGAGCCUGUGCUGCGGCGCGCUCAAGGACUUCGCGUGCCCCUACUCCACCUACAUCAACGACGUCACCACCAACUGCGCCGCCACCAUGUUCAGCUACAUCAACCUCUACGGCAAGUACCCGCCGGGCCUCUUCGCCAACACCUGCCACGAGGGCGACAAGGGCCUGUCGUGCCCGGAAGACACGCCGCAGGUGCAGCCGGGCCAGAAGGCCUCCGGAGCGGCCGCCGUCGCCGCGCCGGCUGCGGCCGUGGCGUUGGCGGCCGCACUGGCCGUGUCAUCGAUCAUGUCGUGCUGAGGCCAGGAAGGCUGUGGGGACGUGACUGUGUAACCAACCCUGUGCUUCUGUACCACUUGCCGCUGGAUGAACGGGUUUGCAGUUAUAUGCAUGUGUGUAUACCUGAAUUUCGAGAAGGGUGGUAGACAGGGGCUCUGAUUAGGCUCAAUUUGCGAGUGCCGUCCCUUCUGGAAAAAAAAUGGCUUAUAGACUGCCAAUUUUCACACACAGUUCAUUUGCUAACCAAGCAGCACGUUAGAUCAAGGACACCGCGCACCCGAGCC